GAUGAACGCUGGCGGCGUGCCUAAUACAUGCAAGUCGAGCGAACAGACGAGGAGCUUGCUCCUCUGACGUUAGCGGCGGACGGGUGAGUAACACGUGGAUAACCUACCUAUAAGACUGGGAUAACUUCGGGAAACCGGAGCUAAUACCGGAUAAUAUAUUGAACCGCAUGGUUCAAUAGUGAAAGACGGUUUUGCUGUCACUUAUAGAUGGAUCCGCGCCGCAUUAGCUAGUUGGUAAGGUAACGGCUUACCAAGGCAACGAUGCGUAGCCGACCUGAGAGGGGGAUCGGCCACUCUGGAACUGAGACACGGUACAGACACCUACGGGAGGCAGCAGUAGGGAAUCUUCCGCAAUGGGCGAAAGCCUGACGGAGCAACGCCGCGUGAGUGAUGAAGGUCUUCGGAUCGUAAAACUCUGUUAUUAGGGAAGAACAAAUGUGUAAGUAACUAUGCACGUCUUGACGGUACCUAAUCAGAAAGCCACGGCUAACUACGU
rnacentral:rRNA from 1 species